AUUAAUUAAAAUAAUUCGAUUCGGUUCGGUUCGAUUAUUUCGAUUAUGGGCCUAUUGGGCUUAUUUUGGUUUUUUUUUUUAAAUUUAAAACCUUAAAUUAAUAAAUCUACCACAAACAUAAAAAGUUAAUAAACAAAAAAUUAAAAUAUGUCUCAAAAUAUUUUUCUUUUUUUCCGAUCAUCAACCUCCACCUCUUGCACUUCCUCCUCAUCAUAGUUUAUUAGUUUUCCAUUCUACAGCAACAAAACAACACAACAGCAGCAACAAAUAAAAAACCUUGGGGAUUACAAAAUAAAAAAUAUUAUGACAUUCCAACACUGGCCUGGCUGAUGGCAUGCAAUUAAAUUCAAAUCAUCCUCACCAAUUAUAAUCAUAAAUUCGACUAGAAAAUCAAGUGUCACAAUCAAUUUCAUGAAGUCAAUGUUUCAAGCUAAAUACAACAUCUCAAGUGAAAUCAAAACAACAUUUUAUUACCUCCAAUUUUAAUCUCGAACAAACUGAUAAAAGGAAUACAAAGUUUAUUCAACAGUAUUGUGCAUUAACAAAGCAUAUGGAUAAAAGGAUUAAGAAAUGGAGAAGAAUUGCUGAGAAUGCAAGUCUGGCUAAUGGGCAUCAUUUAUAGCAUCAUACAUAAUUUAUUUAUGCAAGUCUGCAAAUUCUUAUUGACGGGCCCCUUGGGAUCCUCUUGGCUAUUUUGGCUAUAGCUUUUUUUUAUCCUCUUGCAUUUACCCCUUGGAGCCAACGAAUGAAUGGUACGCUUACGCUAUAGCCAAAAUAGCUGGGAUUAAGAUAUGCCGGGCUUAUCAGAUUCAGUAAAAAUUCAAUGCAAUUUCUGGGAUUCUUACGAAUUUAUAUGGCCCCAAUGAUAACAAAAUAUUUUAGCUAUAGCUUUUUAAAUUCAUAAAACCUUGUUCUGCUGAGAGUUGUUGGUGACAGUGGCAGCAGCAGCAGAUGACAGCGGCAGCAGCACGUGGUAACAGCGGCGGAGACUCGGCGACGAGCAGCAGCGAUGGGCAGCAGCGACGAGCAGCGGCGGCGACGAGAAACGGGGACGAGAUUUCAGCGGCUGAAGGUCACGAUUUCGGUUUCAGCUGAAGAUCAGAACUCAGAAGUGGUCACGAUUUAGGUUGAUGAUCAGAACUCAGAAGAAG
rnacentral:lncRNA from 1 species